CUAUGAUAUCUCUGCGUAGCGGGAAUAUGUGAGAAAUCGACUCAAUGCAGGGACUUUUAAGAAGACCACAGUACAAGUUUUAAUGGCUCUAGAACUCAGGUGGAGCUGAAAUUCCAAAUGCUAAAUGUGUUAAGAUACACACAACAUCGGCAAACAUUAUGCUUUUUGUUGCAAAAGCUAUGUGUCGUACUUUCUCCUGUAUCCAUAUGUCCUUAAUACUUUUUGGAUGGAGUCCUCUUUUUUGUUUGAUCUGGAUAAUUCCAUUCGAAGUGGUCAGCUGCUGAUAUCAAUUUCAGGAACUGCCUGCCGAUGUGGUCCAAAGGUGACGCGAUUUUAGCACUCAUUGGAAGGCAGAUAAAUUCCAUGCCAUUCUUGAUAAAAAUAGGAAAGUUGGAUUGUUCAUUUUUAUGAAAGAAAAGCAAAGUCAGCUAUCACCUGUUUCAAGUGACAAAAGGGUAAUCGUGCUGAUUAGAAGAUUUAUUCUAUCUUAUGGAGACUAGACAGGGCCUCUUGGAAAGUAUUAAUGAGGAAUCAUUAGAAUUCAUUCUGGCGGAGGAACUGAACUAAGGAUCUGCUCUUCCAUGGUUAACAUCUGCAGCAGCUCAAGGCUUCAUAUUCCAAGCUUUUGUAUUCUACUUAAAUACGUAAACAGAAUGGAAGUGGUUACUCAAUAUUCAAUUAGCUGAAGAAGGUGAUGAUUUCACACUAUUUGGAGUCUUCUCCAUUAAUUAUGUGCAAGGCAAUGCACCUUAUUUGAUUUGAGUUUGUAGUUUACUACCAUAAUCUGUGAUAUUAGUGUGCUAUUUUUUAUUUUGUUUUAUAUUUUUUCCUAACUUGAGGGAGUUGGGAUCUUAGUAACUGCUAGAUUUUGUUUGGUCCCCAGGUCCCUUGGCUUUAUGAAUUUAAAAAGCUUAUUGCAAGGAUCAAUCACUGGCUUUUUUAACGAAGAUAUGCAUUUGAGAUUUCAAUUGUCCUGUUGAGGAUUUGUGUGCAUGGGAAUAUGGCCAGCUCUAGCUGUUGUAGAAGGUAUGCUGCUUAUCUGCUAAUGUCUGUGAUGAUGUCCAUCUCAUUG